AUUGAACGCUGGCGGCAUGCUUUACACAUGCAAGUCGAACGGUAACAGGUCUUCGGAUGCUGACGAGUGGCGAACGGGUGAGUAAUGUAUCGGAACGUGCCCAGUAGUGGGGGAUAACUACUCGAAAGAGUGGCUAAUACCGCAUGAGAACUGAGGUUGAAAGCGGGGGAUCUUCGGACCUCGCGCUAUCAGAUGAGCCUGCGUAGGAUUAGCUUGUUGGUGAGGUAAAGGCUCACCAAGGCGACGAUCCUUAGCUGGUCUGAGAGGAUGAUCAGCCACACUGGAACUGAGACACGGUCCAGACUCCUACGGGAGGCAGCAGUGGGGAAUAUUGGACAAUGGGCGAGAGCCUGAUCCAGCCAUGCCGCGUGCAGGAAGACGGCCCUAUGGGUUGUAAACUGCUUUUGUACGGGAAGAAACACCCCCUCGUGAGGGGCGUUGACGGUACCGUAAGAAUAAGGAUC
rnacentral:rRNA from 1 species